ensembl:lncRNA
CUAGUGCAGGGCGAACCCACUUCGCCAAAAGGAAGGGCGUGGCUACUCAGGCUAGCAGAAAGGACUUUCUGAAGCCAAACCUCUCCCAUGUCAUAGUGAUCCCACAGGCACAGCAGCACGAAAAGAUAAUGAACAUCUUCAUCGACCUGUGUGACACUGAAGAACAGAUGAAGGCGAUCACAGUUCAGCAGCUCAAGUUGAAGAUAGCCAAGCAGGUGCAUGAGGACAAUUGGGACCGCGUCGUCCUGAUCUUCGAUGGCACACUAAUGGCUGAAAGGAAUACCUUGGUCUCUUAUGGAGUUAAAGACAAAUCCGUUAUCCAAAUGAGUUAUUGGGAAUAUUUUUAUUUGUGAGUCGUUUGCCCACUGCAAUUGCAUAGU